UCGAAGCGAUAUAGCCCAAGUCAUGCAGAGGCAAACCGAAAGCGAUGAGAUCCAGCUGUGACGUUAAAUUCCAAUGGACUAUAAGCGUUUCAAUGACAUUAAGACCAAGAAAGCGUUAGAGUUAUUAAAACAACUGGCAGCCUGACUUGAUUCGCGGGGAAAAUCAAUAGGAAAACAUGAAUUUCCAUUUGUCCAUCUUGAGGCGAGUUUGCAGUGACGGCUUCGGUCUGCAUGUGAAUAUGGCUCAAAAAUGACCAAUGUAUCGUCUUGGCACUUUUUUGAUGCUUAUUAUACUACCUCUUGCCUUUUCCUGUGAAAGUGGUCACAAUAAAAACCAGAUCACCGAGGAUUACCGCAAUAUCAUUAAGAGACAACUGAAGCACGUUGAGGCUAUUAUUGAACAACUCUGUUCAAACUGCACAGUAAGAAAUGUCAGCAUGUCGAAGGAGCUAAAAAAUACACAGUCCAUCCACAGAAAAAUCUGCAAGGUUAACGGAAAACUGAGAAGAACCGAGUCGUCUUCAGAGAAUGUAAAUCUGAAAGAAGCGUUACAUAAACUCGUGGGAGAAAUAAAUACGUCCUUGAGAUGUUGGUGCCAUGGAAAGAUAGAGGGGAAAAAUAAGCCAAUACAGCAAAUGCGAGAGUGGAAGCUAUGCAGAGUGAAAGACAUUCUCGCCAACUUACAGAGACACUUCGAACAAUACAAUGCAUAUCUGUCAUUCAGCACAGACCUUCAAGAGCGUGGGAAGACUUCAGAGCAAACCGGUAUAUAAUACUUGAGCUCCGUCCAUCUUGUAGCUCUAUUACAACAAAUGAUUGUACAAAAUAUGAAGAAAAAACUGGACGCACCAUGUGCCAUUCACACUAUUCAGUAUUUGACUGAAGAAAAACUUUUUAAGGGAAAAUAUGUGCAAACUAUACACAUACUACUUGCGCAUGAAAUGUUUCAAAACUUACUUCGGAUUGUUAUCUUUGAGUACGGAGGGUGCAGCAAAAUGGAACUCACAAAUUAGAAACUUGGUUUCAAAGCCUAUAUUAUAUACAUUUUUAAGGCCUCAAGAUACAACUUUGUUGUUUCACAUGCUUCAUUUUUGGGAAGUGACCCUAUCAAAGUCUUACAAGUUUAAAGGCUUACAGUAAAUCCAAAGAUUACGCUC